CAUGCAAGUCGAACGAGAAGCUCCCUUCGGGGAGUGGAGAGUGGCGCACGGGUGAGUAACACGUGAGCAACCUGCCGGGAAGCCCGGGAUAGCCCUCCGAAAGGAGGAUUAAUACCGGAUGUGGCCACCCUGCGAUUGCGGGGGAAGCUAAAGGAUUUAUUCACUUCCCGAGGGGCUCGCGGCCCAUCAGCUUGUUGGUGAGGGUAACGGCCCACCAAGGCGACAACGGGUAGCUGGUCUGAGAGGAUGGUCAGCCACACUGGAACUGAGACACGGUCCAGACACCUACGGGUGGCAGCAGUCGAGAAUCAUUCGCAAUGGGGGAAACCCUGACGAUGCGACGCCGCGUGGAGGAUGAAGGCCUUAGGGUUGUAAACUCCUGUCAAGAGGGAAUAAGCAAGUGAAGGUACCUCUAGAGGAAGGGGCGGCUAAUUCCGUGCCAGCAGCCGCGGUAACACGGAAGCCCCGAGCGUUGUUCGGAUUCAUUGGGCGUAAAGGGUGCGUAGGCGGCGCGGAAAGUCCGGCGUGAAAGGCAGGGGCUCAACCUCUGGACUGCGUUGGAUACUUCCGUGCUUGAGGACUGGAGGGGAGACUGGAAUUCACGGUGUAGCGGUGAAAUGCGUAGAUAUCGUGAGGAAGACCGGUGGCGAAGGCGAGUCUCUGGACAGAUCCUGACGCUGAGGCACGAAGGCUGGGGGAGCGAACAGGAUUAGAUACCCUGGUAGUCCCAGCAGUAAACGAUGUGAGCUUGAUGUGGGGGGAUUCGACCCCUUCCGUGUCGAAGCUAACGCGAUAAGCUCACCGCCUGAGGAGUACGGCCGCAAGGCUAAAACUCAAAGAAAUUGACGGGGACCCGCACAAGCGGUGGAGUAUGUGGCUUAAUUCGAUGCAACGCGAAGAACCUUACCUGGCCUUGACAUGCAUUGUGUCGUCGGUGAAAGCCGGCUUAGUCCUGGAAACAGGACGCUUUGCACAGGUGCUGCAUGGCUGUCGUCAGCUCGUGUCGUGAGAUGUUGGGUUAAGUCCCGCAACGAGCGCAACCCUUGUGGUCAGUUACUAACCGGCUUAGCCGGAGGACUCUGGCCAGACUGCCCUGUCAAACGGGGAGGAAGGUGGGGACGACGUCAAGUCAGUA
rnacentral:rRNA from 1 species